UAACGGGGCCGCGGCGGGGGGGCCGGAGCGGGGCCGCGGUGGCAGAGCGGCGGCAGCGGCCGGUGGGGCUGCCCCUGAGGCGAGAGGGAACGCGGUGGGGAGUGCGGCGCCGGGUCCCGGCCCGGUUCCCGUAGCCUGGUGGAGGGGAGGGGGGACGAGGCUGCCCGCCCCCCUCCCCCAACUCGACGGCCAGGCGCGGGGGCCUGGGGGCUGAGGGAGCGCCCGGAGGUGGCUGUUGGGCUCGUUCCCGGCCCGCAGGGGAAAGGCCCGGCCCGGGCGGGCUGUCCCCGGCCUGCUGCGGGAGUGCGGAGCUCGGCUGCGGCCGGGGCGGAACCGGCGCUCGGCUGCCCCCUCCCUCCCCCCGGGGCGGGCUCUCCUCGCUGGGUUCUGUCGCUGGCUCGGUCGCACUUCAAAGUGUUUCCCCCCCUCCCCCCCCCCCGUUCACUCCCUGCCUGCGUUCCCCUGCGGCGCCGCCGCCUCCCCUCCCGACCCGGACCGACACCUGUGGCCGGGGGCGAAGGGGCUGCGGGCGGGGGGGGGGCCGCGGGCGGCCGUGCCCGGGCGGGGCUGGCACAGCCUCCGUGACCUUCCUUCCUCGGCAGCCGAGUGAGGUGUGCUGGGGCCUGGGCUGAGCGCAUUGCUUCCUCCCGAGCCUUCCCGGUUGAAAGGCGUUAGGAUUGCUCCCGAAAACUCCUUCAAAGAAACUUGGUUCCAGCUCCCGAACGGCUGAAAAGCACCGAACGGCAGCGCCCCGGCCCCAACGGCAAAGCAACCGAGCCGGCCCCGCCGCCCGCGGCAGGAGCCCGGAGCCGGUAGCCGGAGGGUGAGGACAGCCAGGGCAGACCCCUGCCGACCCCCGCCCCGCACCUCCCCCGCGCCGGAGCCGCUGCCUGUGCCCCGCUAGGAAUGGAAAGCCACGAAAGGGACUCGGAGAUCGUCUGCGUUCGUGCGGGGGCCUAAAGCCCCGGAGGAUGACCUAGCGCCGGGGAACCGAA